rnacentral:rRNA from 1 species
CAGUAGCCGCGGUAACACGUAGGGUGCAAGCGUUAAUCGGAAUUACUGGGCGUAAAGCGUGCGCAGGCGGUUAUAUAAGACAGAUGUGAAAUCCCCGGGCUCAACCUGGGAACUGCAUUUGUGACUGUAUAGCUAGAGUACGGCAGAGGGGGAUGGAAUUCCGCGUGUAGCAGUGAAAUGCGUAGAUAUGCGGAGGAACACCGAUGGCGAAGGCAAUCCCCUGGGCCUGUACUGACGCUCAUGCACGAAAGCGUGGGGAGCAAACAGGAUUAGAUACCCGUGUAGUCCCUGUCUCUUAUAC